UAAAAAACUCUCGAAUCGACACUUUGCGCCAAAUCUCCUCCCACGUGGAGUCCACGAGGAAAUGACCCGAACCCGGAAGAGCUCGAGCGGAGACGCAGAGGAAACAUCUGGACACACGUGCAGCGGAGGGAAGAUGCUGCAGCCGGAGGUCGGGGAGGAGGAGACAGAUGUUCCAGAUGUGGUCCAGCGUCCGGAUCCCGUCCGGCCGGUUCUGACACGGUUGUGCUUCGAGCGCCACCGUGUGGACAGAUGCGCGAGCUGCGGCCCGACUCUGGCCCCAAAGUGGUGAAGACGGCCACGUUCAACAAAGUCCUGGAGCUCCUCUUCCUCACCAGCCUUCAUCUCAGGAGGGAAAGAGUAAAUCCACCUCAUCUCUGCUCAGCAUCAUUUUCUAUUCCCACGAGUGAACGGAGAGUCGAGCAGAGACGAGCCGUGACGCUGGAGAUCCGCGGCGAGGCUCCGUGUCAUUUGUAUGUGUUGGAAGUUUUCUCUUAAACACACACACACACGGAGCAGAAACAGAAACAGUUGCAGCGACAUGCAUCUGAAAUCAGUCACACACACGCAGCCGUCCAAGCUGCACGGGGCCUGUUUGAUA